AGUCCCGUUUCAGUACCUUCCACUCGCACCACCAUGAAUGGACGGCUAUGCUAACGGGACAGAAAAGCACUGUCACGGUCUGAAGGUGUGGCUAACAUACUGUGUACCGCACCAAAUAAGAUGACGGGACAUGUCGAU
ensembl:snoRNA SNORA29 small nucleolar RNA, H/ACA box 29